ensembl:lncRNA
GUAAGAUUGCAUGUAUGGUAUUGUCAGUGUUUUUAAAGAGAGGUGUAUCUGAGUUUGUUUUGUCGGGGGGGGAGGGGACAUAUACAUGUUCUGGUAAACACUGCAGCUCUGCAAUGGUAUGUUAAGAGACAAACAAUCUUAAAAGAGAACAGAAAUCUUACUAGUAUUUUCUGUAGGUCUGCAUAUUUAAGCCAUCAAUUGCUUGUAAUGCUACAGGAAUGUUUUUCUUUACUUCUGAUCAGUGGCAGAGAUUCUGCUGCCUUUGGGAUUCCUCCCUGUAUGUACUAAUGUUCCAGCUCUUCUUUAUAUGAACUCCUUCAGCUGAGCUAACAAAUGACAGCUUCAACAGAAAGGUAGAGAAGAAAGUGCCACAUCCAGCUCCUCACUUGUCCAAAGGAUGGGUAUACUUUCCUGAUAAUAAGAACUGAUAAAUCAAUUAAGUGCAUUAGCGGGGUAUAUAAAACUUUUGAAUGAUGUUAUUCAUGAGGUAACUGCCUAGCCUCUGUGUGCAGGGCAUGCUUGUGACAAGAAGGAAUGAUCAAAGACAGCUCAGGAUAAAUGGAAGAGGAGAAAAAAGAAAGAUGAAAUAUUUUAACCUUCCAAUGGGAGGUAGAGGGGAAUAGAAGAGAUUCGACUCUGUCUUCCUCUGCGGUUUUCACUAGGUGAUGGAAGUCAUACAGACUCAAGGCUAGCACUGCAGAAGCAUAAAAAUAUUUGCAUGCUGGUUCACAGCUCCCAAAGCUUCACUGAUUCUUCACAGUUCAGAGAAAUAUUGAUGUAAUAUCAUGAUAUUUGAUGAUACUGUACUUUUGGGUAUCAAGAGCAUGAAAGAUUCAAAUGGUAAAAUCCAGAACUGCUAGGAAUAAAAAUGUUUAUGAAUCCCUUUGUUCUUCAUUUGUCCUUGAAAUCAAGGCAUGUGGGAACAUUUAUGCCAUUGACUUCACAAAGCAAAGAUAUCUCAGAUAUUGGCUACAGUUUUUCAACUUGUCUAUGCUCGAAUAGAGUGGUCAGUGACCUCCAAAGAGCAACUCAUUCAGUCCAGCUGCAAGCCAGCUUGCUAUUUUACCUUUUUUAUUUAUUCUGAUCAAUAAAUAAAAUAAAAAAUAUAAGAAAGUGCA